UACGAAGGGGGCUAGCGUUGCUCGGAAUCACUGGGCGUAAAGCGCACGUAGGCGGCUUGUUAAGUCAGGGGUGAAAUCCUGGAGCUCAACUCCAGAACUGCCUUUGAUACAGGCGAGCUUGAGUUCGGGAGAGGUGAGUGGAACUGCGAGUGUAGAGGUGAAAUUCGUAGAUAUUCGCAAGAACACCAGUGGCGAAGGCGGCUCACUGGCCCGAUACUGACGCUGAGGUGCGAAAGCGUGGGGAGCAAACAGG
rnacentral:rRNA from 1 species